rnacentral:sRNA from 1 species
CACAGCACGAGAUGACCCAAUAAUCCGAACUCCUACGUCGUUCGGGUUAUUGGGUCAUCUCGUGCUGUG